UACAGGGGGUGCAAACGUUGCUCGGAAUUAUUGGGCGUAAAGCGCGCGUAGGCGGCUACCUAAGUCGGAUGUGAAAGCCCCUGGCUUAACUGGGGAAGUGCACCCGAAACUGGCAGGCUAGAGUACUAAAGAGGGUCGCGGAAUUCCCGGUGUAGAGGUGAAAUUCGUAGAUAUCGGGAGGAACACCGGUGGCGAAGGCGGCGACCUGGGUAGAUACUGACGCUGAGGUGCGAAAGCGUGGGGAGCAAACAGG
rnacentral:rRNA from 1 species